CAGAGUUGCAAAACUCCCUAACCAUUUGUGAACGUUACUAAACGUUUGCUUCGGCGGGCGGCCGGGGUCUCUCCAGGGAGCCCCUGGGCCCAUCGAGGGCGCCAGCGGAGGUAUCCAAACUCUUGAUACUUUUACGGCAUCUCUGAGUAUUCUGUACUAGAAUAAGUUA
rnacentral:misc_RNA from 1 species